rnacentral:rRNA from 1 species
AGUGAACGCUGGCGGUAGGCCUAACACAUGCAAGUCGAACGGCAGCACAGUAAGAGCUUGCCCUUACGGGUGGCGAGUGGCGGACGGGUGAGGCAUACAUCGGAAUCUACUUUUUCGUGGGUGAUAACGUAGGGAAACUUACGCUAAUACCGCAUACGACCUACGGGUGAAAGCAGUGGAUCUUCGCACCUUGCGCGAUUCAAUGAGCCGAUGUCGGAUUAGCUAGUUGGCGAGGUAAAGGCCCACCAAGGCGACGAUCCGUAGCUGGUCUGAGAGGAUGAUCAGCCACACUGGAACUGAGACACGGUCCAGACUCCUACGGGAGGCAGCAGUGGGGAAUAUUGGACAAUGGGCGCAAGCCUGAUCCAGCCAUACCGCGUGGGUGAAGAAGGCCUUCGGAUUGUAAAGCCCUUUUGUUGGGAAAGAAAAGCAGCAGGUUAAUACCCCGCUGUUCUGACGGUACCCAAAGAGUAAGCACCGGCUAACUUCGUG